rnacentral:piRNA from 1 species
AUGUGUGUCGUGCAUUGUUGAUAGAUUCCUGU